UUUCGCAAUGCCCGAAAGGGUGACGAAGCGACGCCGCGUGUGGGAAGAAGGCCUUCGGGUUGUAAACCACUGUCGGGAGUUAAGAAAUGCAAGAAUGUUAAUAGCGUUUUUGCUUGACUAAGGCUCCGGAGGAAGCCACGGCUAACUCUGUGCCAGCAGCCGCGGUAAUACAGAGGCGGCAAGCGUUGUUCGGAAUUAUUGGGCGUAAAGAGCACGUAGGCGGCUAUAUAAGUCGGUUGUGAAAGCCUUCCGCUCAACGGAAGAACGGCAUCCGAUACUACAUGGCUUGAGUGCGGGAGGGGAGAGUGGAACUUCUGGUGGAGCGGUGAAAUGCGUAGAUAUCAGAAGGAACGCCGGCGGCGAAAGCGGCUCUCUGGCCCAUAACUGACGCUGAGUGUGCGAAAGCUAGGGGAGCAAACGGGAUUAGAUACCCCGGUAGUCCUAGCCGUAAACGAUGGGCACUAAGUAGAGGGGUUUU
rnacentral:rRNA from 1 species